UUGUGUUCAAUCAGAAUAUAGUGUAGUUGAUCGAAGAAAUUCGUAUGUUGAUUAAGACCUAUAAUCGCAAGUCAGUCCCAUGCAACUAAGGAAUUCCAUAGAACAUGGGACUGGCUUGCGAUUAUGGGCAGUGGAUUAAGACCCAUAUUCUUCGGCGGCAACCAUGCAGUUUGUAAGCGAAAAAUCAAAGUAUUAAAAUUAAUAUAAAUACGAUUAAAAUCACAUGGAAUUCUUCUUCUAAAAAGGCUUUGGGAACCAUUAUUUGAAACUCGUUAAGGCGUGAUUUGUGCACAUAUAUAGAAAAGGUGUAUCACAUAUUUUUUUCGUUUUAACAUACUUAUAGAAAUACUUCAUAGAAAAUAAAUGCUUAUAAUGAUUCAUCCACUUAACAUGUUUAUCAUGACCAUUUACUUAAGUUUCCAGUUUUUCGUUUGUAUUUUUCUUUAUGCCCUUCUGAAAUGCUGUGGAGGCGAGAAGCAAAGCUGGAGCUGAAACCGAUCCAAGAAGCAAUAAAUCUGCUUGUAGUGAAUCAAAGCGAUCAUAGCAUGGUUGAAGCACAGUGAAAUUCAUUGUGACAUUGUUUACCAGUGCGAUGAACCUGGCUUAAAUGAUAAACGAGGGCGAAAAAAUCGGCCCUAAGUAUAGUAACAGGCCGAUGUAUGAUUUGCAAAUAUUUGUGCUGGUGCAAUCGAUACAGCAUGAUUUCACUUCUUCCGACUAAGGGCGAUGAAUUUCACUUAUUCCGAGUAAGGGCGCAUUUCUUCACCCUCGAUCAACUUUUAAACCAGGUCUACCGGUGCGAUUAAACCUGGCUUAAGCUUUAAUCUUUCUUUUCUUUUUUUUACAAUGGAGAAGACCUUUAUGUCCUAGCCAAGUACACGUGCUAUUGGUAGGGUCCAAUCUACCACACGGGGUGCACUGGGGGCGUGUCAGACUCGAAUGGUGACCAGCCAUUAAUACCGACUAAACUCCAUUGGGCUCCGCCAUCAUUCCUCCCAGGAACUACCUCUCGGUAUUACUUCUGGGGGGAUGGCUGUACCAACGACACGACUAGACACUGGCAUUUCAAAACUGCAUCGCAAAUAUGACUACCCCUCAGUGACUCAGGUAACUGGUACUGUCAAAUAUGACAUUUCCUUAGAAAAUACCUGAAACCAGCAACACUUUUUAUUUUGUUGUUGACUUCGCGUCAACUGUCAGAGAUAUUUUUUCACCAGUCUAAUUUUGCAAUUUGUGAAAUUGUUUGUAAAGGUUUCGCUGGAGAGGAUGGAUGCUAUUUUUUGAAGUUGCAACAGUACGUUUGUUUCAUUAGGAAGAGGGAUCAAAUAUCGGAUCCAGAUUUCAAUGGAGGUGUCAUCAGCAAAAUGAAAACUGAAUGAAAAAUGAAAAAAAGAACUCUUUUAAAGUAAUUUAUUGGAUGUGGGAAGCAAGAGAUGUUUACUUCGCACAAAAGAAAGAAUUUUACAUUUAGUUGCUGAUCUACGUCUUUGCCACUGUAGCUGCUAGGGAAUUUCCCAUUGCUUCCAGUUCAAUAUAUUUCGUAGAAGGAAGAAAUAUACUGUAAGCAGUGCAAUUCAAGAGCGCGAGAAUACUAGCGAGUAUUUGAAAAUGCACCGAACAAUUUGUGGAAACAGUUUCGAAACCGGCGGUGAAUAGUUCACACGUAUCAUGAUGAAUUCUAUGGAUCAGAGCACAUAAAUGUGAUCAAUAUUGGUCAAAUCGUUCUAGACAUUUUCAGAGCACUAAAAUCUUUUGUGAAAAAAUUCUUUCCGAGGGACGAACUUCACGACUUGUGUCAAGCCAUGGCAAGUCGUGUCGGAGUCUAAUCCACUCGAAAGUAUAGUACCUAUUAUUAAGAAUAAUUUCGGUUUAGUCAAUGUCUGACGUGUUUAAAAGCUACCAGCUAUAAUACAGAACUGACGGCGUAUUUGCUGUGUGAUGCGGGAAAUUUUGAAAAUAAGACAUGCGCUAGUCCAGUUGGCUUCAAUGUAGCUGACAAUUCAGAAUAAUUACUGCGCAUUUAAUUUCAAAAUGGUCCCCUGGAAGUUGUCGUCGGUUUCGGAAUGCUGAGAACUGGCAGGGAUUAAUAAAUGUGUUUUAGUAAGGUAAACACUAGCUUAAUUCCAGAGUGACUAGAGUUUUUAGACAGCAAUCCGCGCCACGAUGUGACGUUUCACGUAACUGGCUUUGUUUGUACAGCGAAGAAGAACAAGUGGU